rnacentral:rRNA from 1 species
UAGGUCAAUCUGCCCAAUGAUGAUUUAUUGAAUGGCUGCAGUAUAAUUGACUGUACGAAGGUAGCAUAAUAAAUUGUUUUUUAAUUGAAAACUAGAAUGAAAGAAUUAAUGAAAUAUAUACUGUCUCGUAUAUAUAUAUUAUGAAUUUAAAAUCUUAGUAAAAAUUCUGAGAUAUUUUUAUGGGACGAUAAGACCCUAUAGAAUUUUAUAUUAAUAUAAAUUUUAUUUAAAUUUUAGUUAAUAUUUGAUUGGGAGGAUUAAUAAAUUAAAAUAACUUUAUUUUGAAUUUAAACUUUGAUUUAAGAGUAAUUUGAUUGAUCUUGUAUUAUUAAUUAAAAGAAAAAAUUACCUUAGGGAUAACAGCGUAAUAUCUUUUUUAAGAUCAAAUUAAUAAAGAUGUUUGCGACCUCGAUGUUGAAUUAAGAUAAAUUUUAAAUGUAGAAGUUUAAUAAUUAAGUCUG